rnacentral:rRNA from 1 species
AUUGAACGCUGGCGGCAUGCCUUACACAUGCAAGUCGAACGGCAGCACGGGAGCAAUCCUGGUGGCGAGUGGCGAACGGGUGAGUAAAGUAUCGGAACGUGCCCAGUCGUGGGGGAUAACGUAGCGAAAGUUACGCUAAUACCGCAUACGAUCUAUGGAUGAAAGCGGGGGAUCGCAAGACCUCGCGCGAUUGGAGCGGCCGAUAUCAGAUUAGGUAGUUGGUGGGGUAAAGGCCCACCAAGCCGACGAUCUGUAGCUGGUCUGAGAGGACGACCAGCCACACUGGGACUGAGACACGGCCCAGACUCCUACGGGAGGCAGCAGUGGGGAAUUUUGGACAAUGGGCGAAAGCCUGAUCCAGCCAUGCCGCGUGCAGGAUGAAGGCCUUCGGGUUGUAAACUGCUUUUGUACGGAACGAAAAGGACUGCCCUAAUACGGUGGUCCCAUGACGGUACCGUAAGAAUAAGCACCGGCUAACUACGUGCCAGCAGCCGCGGUAACAC